CAUCAUUACAAUGGAAACAAUAAUGAUCUAGGAACCGCUUGUGGGAAGUACUUCCGUGUAUCCUGCUUGAGUAUUGUCGAUCCAGGUGAUUCUGACAUCAUCAAGUCUCUACCAGGUGACCGCUAAGUCGAUGAUGGUUCAGUUCUCUAGUUUCCGACUCCACUAUGUUGUUUCUCUUUUCCCCCAACCCCUUUUGUUUAAGAAUAUUUGGUAUCUUCUUUAUGCCAAGUUGUGGAUGUUGCUAAAUUUUGUAGCUUGAAUACCAAUUUUUGGUUAAUGAAGAUUCUGGAUUUUCAUUA